rnacentral:rRNA from 1 species
GGAUGCUGACGAGUGNCGAACGGGUGAGUAAUACAUCGGAACGUGCCCGAGAGUGGGGGAUAACGAAGCGAAAGCUUUGCUAAUACCGCAUACGAUCUCAGGAUGAAAGCAGGGGACCGCAAGGCCUUGCGCUCACGGAGCGGCCGAUGGCAGAUUAGGUAGUUGGUGGGAUAAAAGCUUACCAAGCCGACGAUCUGUAGCUGGUCUGAGAGGACGACCAGCCACACUGGGACUGAGACACGGCCCAGACUCCUACGGGAGGCAGCAGUGGGGAAUUUUGGACAAUGGGCGCAAGCCUGAUCCAGCCAUGCCGCGUGCAGGAUGAAGGCCUUCGGGUUGUAAACUGCUUUUGUACGGAACGAAAAGACUCUGGUUAAUACCUGGGGUCCAUGACGGUACCGUAAGAAUAAGCACCGGCUAACUACGUGCCAGCAGCCGCGGUAAUACGUAGGGUGCGAGCGUUAAUCGGAAUUACUGGGCGUAAAGCGUGCGCAGGCGGUUAUGUAAGACAGAUGUGAAUCCCCGGGCUCAACCUGGGAACUGCAUUUGUGACUGCGUAGCUAGAGUACGGCAGAGGGGGAUGGAAUUCNCGCGUGUAGCAGUGA